rnacentral:rRNA from 1 species
UACGGGGGGGGCAAGCGUUGUUCGGAAUUACUGGGCGUAAAGGGCUCGUAGGCGGCCAACUAAGUCGGACGUGAAAUCCCUCGGCUUAACCGGGGAACUGCGUCCGAUACUGGAUGGCUUGAGUUCGGGAGAGGGUCGUGGAAUUCCCAGUGUAGAGGUGAAAUUCGUAGAUAUUGGGAAGAACACCGGUGGCGAAGGCGGCGACCUGGUCCGUGACUGACGCUGAGGCGCGAAAGCGUGGGGAGCAAACAGG